rnacentral:rasiRNA from 1 species
AACAGUUUCAUGAGCCUUCCGAGUG